UUUCUUUUGAUUAUGGAGAAAUAAAAGUAUGAGAAUCGUUUAUACAUGUUAGUGGAAGCAAAUAAAUGAGUAAAAUAGGGUAAUACCUGUUUUGUAUCAGGUUAAAAAUUUUAAUAUAUUUUUAUCCUAAGACGCAUAGCUUAAGCCAUGUUUUUACUGAAACAAAGAAAAAUUAACAGCAGUAAAGAAAUUUAUACAAUUAAAGUAAUUUAGAUAUAAAGUAAUCGUAAAUUUUGUCUAAUU
rnacentral:rRNA from 1 species